CGCGGCGGACGAGCCGCGCGGGCCGCCUUGAAUUACAAUUUCCACCGGGCGGCGGACUGAAUCCUUUGCAGACGACUUAAAUACGCGACGGGGUAUUGUAAGUGGCAGAGUGGCCUUGCUGCCACGAUCCACUGAGAUUCAGCCCUUCGUCGCUCCGAUUCGU
rnacentral:ncRNA from 1 species